AAAGACCUGUUGCCCCCUUUUAGAAAAUAAAAGAGGGGAAGAAAAGAAAGAGAAAAAGAACCGUGGGAACGUAAAAGAAAGAGAAGAAAAUCACUUAAACUAAGAGAUUUUUCUCUUCUCUUUCUUUUUGUAAGUAGAUUUUUUUUUUCUCUUUCUUAUUAAUAUCUUUUUCCAUCCAUCAAAAUCUUUUAAGUAAACAAUAGAUGAAGAAAUUGUUCUUCUUUAAGAUGAUCAACCUCAUCCGUCACCGUAAAGGUAAAUAUCCAAAUAGUGAUCAGACUUAAGUCCAAAGACGCUAAGUUUACAAUCACUUCAACUCUUUCGGUCAACGAUAAUCAGGUUUGGAUUAUAAACAAAUGACCAAAUGUAAUGUUUAUAUUGUUGAUUAAUUUUUCACCUCUUAAUCUACUUUUUUGUCCCUUUGUUUAUCAUUUAUAUCGAAAGGUGAACAGAUUGUCAUCAUGAGCAAGAAGAUGAACUCAAAGACACUGUGAGAAUAUGUUGUUGCCUAAUAUCUCAUGGAAAAAGGAUCGUCAUCAUCAUAAUCAUCAUUGUGGAACCUUCUAUAUGAGUCUAUGGUUUUAACCUGAAUGCAGAUGAUUUUGUUUAAAAAAACAGCCUGUUGAUUGGACGAUUAUCAUCAUGGUCCCCGGAGGUUCAUCAAAAAUCACUUGAAAAGUGAUUUCUAUCAAAUGAAAAAGGGGAGAAAGUGCGAGUGAGCCAUGAAAAAGAGUCUCUGUUGACAUAAUCCCAAAGGUAUCUUGAGAAAUGAAAAUAUCCUUGUGCAAGAAAUAUUAAUACUCGUAAUGAUAAUGUAAAGUGUAAGGUAUUGUUUGGUGGUGGGAACAACAAUUGAACCUAAUCAAUCUGUUGAUUAUUAUUACAUUUUUUUAAACAAUUCAUCUCAAGCAAACCAUCAACAAUCAACCAGAUCCAAUUAUAUUAAAUGUCCCUUUGGGAGUUAAACAUGUGAUAAUAUACCAACAUCAUCUUCAUCAUCAUCGACAACAACAACAACAACAACAUAUUAAUAGAUUAUCAUUUUAUAUUCCAUCUGCCUUAGGAUGCUAAAGUUUUUUCCAACCGCAACUUAAAUUCAGUCAACAUCAACUACAAACAACCGUUAGUUUAUAUACUUGAUAGUUUGACUUUCAUCUUCAUCCUCUUCCUAUUAAUGCCUCCCUCUCCUUUUUUGUCAACUUCAUCUCUCUCUCUCUCUGCUUUUUAAAUGUCCUUCUCUCUCUCUCUCGUCAGUUUAAAUCUUUCUCUUGCCUCUCCCUAAUUCUUUCUCUGUCUCUCUCUCCCUCUCCCUCUGUCUCUUUCUAUUCCUCUUGAUUUCCUUGUCUCUUUGUGUCUAUUUUCACUUUCCUUUUCCUCUUUACUUUCUUUUUCCUCUCUCUCUCUCUCUCUCUUAGCAUCCUCAUCAUCAAAUUUAUCCUCUCAAACCGGAACUAGGAGCGUAUGGGAAAUAUUUUAUUUCAUAUUAAAUAACAAUUAACUUGAUUGCUGUUCAACUUGAUCACAAUCAAACUAAUUAAGUUAACGAAACAAUUAACAAACAAUCAAUUUGAUUAAGAAUCUGUCUCACUAGUGACAUCUGUUAUUUUCGAAAACUACUCAACUAGUGAUCUUUUCUAUCACUAGAUGGAGAUCAUAACAUGGAAAACUUUUUACGUUUUUAUAAACAUAAACAGUUCGAGACUUUUGGUGGGGACAAAUUUCAAUCGUCCGUGGCUCCAUGAAAAAACUAUUGUCUGAAAAAAAUACAGAAAAAUAUGGAGACCAAAUGUUCGUCAUCAUCAUUUCCAGUUCUUACCAUCGAAGGAAAUAAAUACACUCACUAGGCUGUUCAUCGAUAGAAUCGACUUCAUCUACGAAAAAGUCACUUUCUCCUGUGGGUCGCUGAUUAAAGACUACAUACAGGGUGUUUCAGUUUCCAACGCGUAUCACGUAGAUUCAAUUAAGUGUGAUAACAAUUAAAUUUAAAUUGAUGCCUUUUCCGCCAAAA